rnacentral:rRNA from 2 species
AAACUGAAGAGUUUGAUCCUGGCUCAGAUUGAACGCUGGCGGCAUGCUUUACACAUGCAAGUCGAACGG